GACGGGGGAUGCAAGCGAUAUCCGGAAUCACUGGGCGUAAAGCGUCUGUAGGUGGUGAUGCAAGUCACUGGUGCAAAACUCUGGCUCAACCGGAGGAAAGCCAGUGAAACUGCAUGACUAGAGUGUGGGAGAGGUAGAAGGAAUUCCCUGAGUAGCGGUGAAAUGCGUAGAUACAGGGAAGAACACCGGAGGCGAAAGCGUUCUACUGUAACACAACUGACACUGAGAGACGAAAGCUAGGGGUGCGAAUGGG
rnacentral:rRNA from 1 species